GGAGGACCUGAUACCAUAUCAGCACUCCUCCUCUGGGACACUGCCUUUAUGAAACCAAACACAUAGUUGUUAAAUCUAGUUACAGCAGGUGUUUACUGCCAUCUAGUGGAAGAUACCAAUAAAACACUUUAUUUUCAGGGUGGGGAGGCGGCUGAUUGAAACAGAAAGUAAAGUUGUUCUUUUGUACAGAAUCCAUUUUGAGACGACAGAGCAGAAGACGCUAUAUGGAGAUUACUGACAAAUAAAGAUCCAUUUUGAGACGACAGAGCAGAAGACGCUAUAUGGAGAUUACUGA